CGGACAGUGUCUGGUGGGUAGUUUGACUGGGGCGGUCUCCUCCUAAAGAGUAACGGAGGAGCACGAAGGUUGGCUAAUCCUGGUCGGACAUCAGGAGGUUAGUGCAAUGGCAUAAGCCAGCUUGACUGCGAGCGUGACGGCGCGAGCAGGUGCGAAAGCAGGUCAUAGUGAUCCGGUGGUUCUGAAUGGAAGGGCCAUCGCUCAACGGAUAAAAGGUACUCCGGGGAUAACAGGCUGAUACCGCCCAAGAGUUCAUAUCGACGGCGGUGUUUGGCACCUCGAUGUCGGCUCAUCACAUCCUGGGGCUGAAGUAGGUCCCAAGGGUAUGGCUGUUCGCCAUUUAAAGUGGUACGCGAGCUGGGUUUAGAACGUCGUGAGACAGUUCGGUCCCUAUCUGCCGUGGGCGCUGGAGAACUGAGGGGGGCUGCUCCUAGUACGAGAGGACCGGAGUGGACGCAUCACUGGUGUUCGGGUUGUCAUGCCAAUGGCACUGCCCGGUAGCUAAAUGCGGAAGAGAUAAGUGCUGAAAGC
rnacentral:rRNA from 1 species